rnacentral:rRNA from 1 species
CGAGCGGAUACGAGUUAACUGACCCUUCGGGUGACGUUAACGGCGUCGAGCGGCGGACGGGUGAGUAAUGCCUGGGAAUAUGCCUUGAUGUGGGGGAUAACCAUUGGAAACGAUGGCUAAUACCGCAUAAUCUCUACGGAGCAAAGAGGGGGACCUUCGGGCCUCUCGCGUCAAGAUUAGCCCAGGUGGGAUUAGCUAGUUGGUGAGGUAAAGGCUCACCAAGGCGACGAUCCCUAGCUGGUCUGAGAGGAUGAUCAGCCACACUGGAACUGAGACACGGUCCAGACUCCUACGGGAGGCAGCAGUGGGGAAUAUUGCACAAUGGGCGCAAGCCUGAUGCAGCCAUGCCGCGUGUGUGAAGAAGGCCUUCGGGUUGUAAAGCACUUUCAGUCGUGAGGAAGGUGGUGUAGUUAAUAGCUGCAUCAUUUGACGUUAGCGACAGAAGAAGCACCGGCUAACUCCGUGCCAGCAGCCGCGGUAAUACGGAGGGUGCGAGCGUUAAUCGGA